AAAAAAAAAAAAAAAAAAAAAAACAGGCUUGCAGUCCUUAUGUGAACUGCAGACUAAGUGCAUUUUUUUUCGUAGUCGCAAGUUUCGCUUUAUACUUUAAUGCAGUUUGUCUGAUAUUUU
rnacentral:ribozyme from 18 species